rnacentral:lncRNA from 1 species
UUCAACAAAUUAAAUCUUCAUGGCAAAUCAACCACCACCCUCUACUACUGCCAUCAUUGGCCCUCAAUACUGUGCUCCAGGUAUGAAUUUACCAUGUUUGUCAGACAUUUAAGUUGGUCAAGAGACAUGAGUUUAUCUUAAAAUUUAUCAUAUAAUGUAUUUCUAGUUAAGAGUUGUGUUAUAUUAUAAACUAGUAGGAUAGGGUAAAAAAAAAAUCGAUAUGAUAAGUAUCUAUAUUGUCUCUAUAUAGCUUAUUUUUAGCUAGUUCAGAAUUAUAUCAUGUGAAUCGUACAGAUUCUUAUUAUUAAAUCAAUCUCCAAAAGACGGAUUUCUAAUAGUGUUGACUAUAAAUAGAAUUUUUGUAAACAAGUAGAAUUAUUUCAUGGAAUAGUCCCCGUGACUUAAAUCGAGAUUGGUAGGGACAUCAUAUUUUAUAUGCAGGAAUCGGAGUUCGAAAUCUUUAGAUUUACCAAUUUAAAAAGAAAAAUAAAUAAAAAAAUCUCACGUUCAGAGAUAAUUCAGGAUUGAAGUAUUUUUUAAGAAUUAAAGAGUGGGAAAAGAAGCUUUCAACUCUAUAGUAAAUCACCCUAAAUUGAUUGAUACAAGACUUGUAUUUUCAUUGAAUAAAUCUUUGUUUGUCUAUAAAAUGCUUUACUGUUUUUAUAAAAUAAAUUAAAAAAUGAUUUAUUAAGUUGUACUAUUAUAUCCUAAUCCAAGUCAUGUCUAACAACAUGAAAGAAUGGUUCAAGUAUCUUUAAAUCUUAAUUCUAAGAUGCAUCAAUAUGUAUAUCUAUCAUUUUACUAUUUUUUUGUUUGUGAUUUCAGCUACACAUUCAAUUGAUUUGAUAGUCAUAAGGGAGAAAUUUAGCUACAACUUCACUGUUAAAGAUCUCAAUGACAAUGUUGUUUUCAUAGUUAAAAGUUCUCCUGAAGUAUUCUUAGCAACCCGUGAAGACCGAUUUUUAUACGAUGCUAACGGAAACCCCAUUCUCAAUCUACGUACAUCGGUUCGUUCAACAACUAUUCAAAAAUCACCCAAUUUUCUUGGUAAUGAGUACUCUUUCUGUGGAGUGAAAUGUACAAACAAAUAAUUCAAAAAGUCAAAUAUAUAUAUAUUUGUUCUAAAAUUUAGACCGAAUAUAUUUGAAUUUUUGAAUUAUUUUUGUUUAUAUUUCAUUUCAGAGAGAGACUAAAUGAUAGCGACUACUUUGUUUUUUGCAGCUACUCGCAGCUGAUGAUAAUUGGAAAGCAUAUAGAGGUGAAAGUAAAGAACCAAAGGAUCUUAUCUUUACUAGGAUGCCUUCUGAAUACAUGCAAAUAAGAACCAAAUUAAAUGUGUUUUUGGCAAAUAACAAUGAAGUUUGUGACUUCACUGUCAAAGCAGAUUUUUCUGGACAAUCAUGGAAGGUUCUCAUAGGCAGAUCCGACAAUGUUAUUGCUCAGGUUUAUACUACCUCCUAUUAAAAUUGUUGAUUUUUUAGAUUUAUUGAAUAAUUGAUAUAUCUUAUCUAUAUUAUAGACUCAAUACGUCAAUUAUUUAAUAAAUCUAAAAGAGAGUUGUUUAUUUUAUUUUUUUUAUAAAAAAACCGAAGUAAUAUUUAUUAUUGUUAGAAAAGAGAGUUAAAUUGAUUAUGUUAAAUUUGAUUUUGUUAAAUUUUGAAAAUGAAUCUUAAGCAAGGUGAUGUAAAUGGAUAAUAUUUUCAGAAAGAAAAUUUAGGGUGUAAAAAGUAAAGAGUGUGGUGCAAAAUGUACUCCUUAUAGAGAUAAUUGUUGCUUUUUUAAUCAGAAAAGUAAAUAUAUUACAAGAAACAUAUAUUAGGCCUAACUAAGCUAUCAGGUUUGAUAUAGUGGUGAAAGAUUUCAUAGUAUGGAUGCAUGAACUCCUAGAUUCGAUCCUCAUUGCUAUUGUAAAGCUAUGUCUAACCCUUUUUUUUUGUUAUAAUGGAAGUAGAGAUGAUCGAACCUAAUAUCUCAUGCAUACUACCCAAAUCUCUUACCACUAGACCGAACCUAAUAGAUUAACUAGCUAUGCCUAACCUUAUCGUCAGUAUAUGAAAUAUGAGUUUGAUUUUUUAUUAUUUUUGGUUUGAGAGUUUGAUUUUAUUUUUUUUACAAUUGAGUUUGAAAUUUUUUAAUCCAUCAAACAUGGCCUUUUUUAAAGUAGUUUAUAGUAAUUAAAGUUUCAUAUUUUAAAAUGAAUUAAUGGAUGUAUAUUAAAAUUUAAAUCUCAAUUUUUGUAUAUUACAUGAAAUAUUUCUAUCAACUAUAUCAUAUUUACAAAAACAAUAUUAUAUUAACUAGAUAACACAGAGAAUGGCCAUAGCAAUCCUAAUAACAUAUAUAGAAAAACUACAUCCUUCAUUUCUUAGAUCAAAAUAUUAUUUGAUCUAAAAUUGUUAUUGUUAUUACUGCAGAUAAAUAGGAAGCCUCGUGCUUUAUUCAGCAGGGAAAAGUUCAUGGUAACCGUGUGCCCCAACAUCGAUUAUGCAUUCAUUGUGGCUUUAACUGUGACCCUAACAAGUUCAACCAGAAAAAGCUCUAUUUUUUAAUUUUUUCUAUACUAGUUUUUUUUUUAUGUAUAUAUACUAGUAUGUUAUUAUGUUAUUAUUUUUUAAAACUUUAUAUGAUAUUGUAUAAUAUUUUUUUUUUCACUCAGCUCAAUAUAUUGACCCUUAAAAACACUUAAGUUUAUAUUGUUAAUUAUGUACUUUUUUUUUGUUCUUUAAAUGUAAGGAUAGUUAAUGUGUAAUACUUUUAAUAAAGUUAC